rnacentral:lncRNA from 1 species
UAGUCCUGCAAGAUCAAUGAUAAACAAAUAGUACAUCGUGUGCCAGCGUGAGUGUGCCUGUGUGCGAGCUUGUGCGUAUAUGCGUGUGUGUGUGUGUAAGACUUAUAAGGGGCAGGAGGCAAGGGCUAUGAGGCUGGAGGGACAAAGAAUCUUUUAGACUGGAUUUUCAGGGAAGAUUUUCCAAGGAGGUAACAUCUUAUCCCCCUGUUCGCUUCCAUCCGUGUGACUGACGCAGACUCUAGCUUAGAUGGACCUUUUUUUUUCUGCGUCAGUUUCUGCUUUCCUCAUCCUCCCAUGGCUGCCAUCCAUUUCUAUAGAAAAAAACAAUUCUCUUCCCAUGCCUGCAGUACUUCAUGAAGCCACAAAGAAAAUCAAAUAGCUACAGCCAAGAGUCUGAGGGCCCCAGGAUACACACACAUACACGCACACGUGCGCACACACACACACACACACACACACUCCAGAGCCAUUUUUAUGUCAGUUAAGUGAAUAUUAUGAAGAUUAAAUGAGAUAAUGCUUUAAAAUAUUUUGUGCGGUGCUUGAUAACUAGUCAGUACUCAAUAAAUAUUAGAUAUUAUUAUUAUAAUCAAGGCCUUUAUUAUUAUCUCAUAGACAUUUGUAAAGAGCUUGCUGGAUGUCUAAUUCUUUGAAAUACUCCUAUUUAGGCAUCACAUUCUCCAAGUGCUUCCUGCGUGCAGAGCUGUGGUAGGUGCUGUGGGGACCAGCAGAGUACUGGAAAAGACAGAGCUCCUCUCUCUUCAUCGCUCAUGAGACAAAGCGAGCAGCACCAGUAUAAGAGAAAUGUGGAGGAACCUUCUCUUUACAAAGCAGCCUCAUCGGAAGCACCAGUGAAGACAGCCAAAUGAGAGACGCAGCUCUUUCAGGGAAGAUGAUUAAAAUGUUGUCUCCUAGACCAUUUCAUCUCUUAAUCAUAACUCUCCCUCCCGUGGAGAAGCAUAAAAUCUUGGAAACACAGUAGGAGGUCAUUCUGUUAUUUACCCACUUUGAAAAUGGGGAGAGGGGCGCCUGGGUGGCUCAGACAGUUAAGCGUCCAAUUCUUAAUUUUGGCUCAGGUCAUGAUCUCAGGGUUGUGAGGUCAGGCUCUGAGCUGGGGUGGAGCUUGCUUAAGAUUCUCUCUAUUCCUCUCCUUCUGCUCCUUCUCUCUCUCUCUCUCUCUCUCUCUCACUCUCUCCCUCUAAAAAAAAAAGGAGAAAAAAAGAAAAAGAAAAAAGAAAAAAAUAGGGGAGCUAACUUACCUACUAGACAAGAGUGAUGUUGGUUCAGGCUAGAUUCUUCAGUUGCCAGCCAACCCUGCCCUCCGACCCCCAGUCGGGCUCACAAUCCCGGCCUCCGAUGCCGCUCCGGAUGAAGGAGACUCGAGUGUACUGAUGAAUCCGCUCUAAGCGUUACCAUAACUUCACCAGACUGCCGCAGUGCUGCCCGCUCGGUUACCCCGGUGACAGCCCACACACUCUGUCUCCUCACACUCAGAAGCGUUCAUCAAUAAAACCAAGUUCAUUAUUACCCA